GCCCUUGUAGCUCAACGGUAGAGCGCGCGGCUCAUAAUCGCUCGGUUACAGGUUCGAAUCCUGUCGAGGGCA
rnacentral:tRNA from 2 species